rnacentral:rRNA from 1 species
AAGAAGGCCUUCGGGUUGUAAAGCACUUUCAGCGAGGAGGAAGGUGGUGAGCUUAAUACGCUCAUCAAUUGACGUUACCCGCAGAAGAAGCACCGGCUAACUCCGUGCCAGCAGCCGCGGUAAUACGGAGGGUGCAAGCGUUAAUCGGAAUUACUGGGCGUAAAGCGCACGCAGGCGGUCUGUCAAGUCGGAUGUGAAAUCCCCGGGCUCAACCUGGGAACUGCAUUCGAAACUGGCAGGCUGGAGUCUUGUAGAGGGGGGUAGAAUUCCAGGU